rnacentral:rRNA from 1 species
CCUACGGGAGGCAGCAGUGAGGAAUAUUGGUCAAUGGACGAGAGUCUGAACCAGCCAAGUAGCGUGAAGGAUGACUGCCCUAUGGGUUGUAAACUUCUUUUAUAUGGGAAUAAAAUGUUCCACGUGUGGGAUUUUGUAUGUACCAUAUGAAUAAGGAUGGGCUAACUCCGUGCCAGCAGCCGCGGUAAUACGGAGGAUCCGAGCGUUAUCCGGAUGUAUUGGGUUUAAAGGGAGCGUAGGUGGAUUGUUAAGUCAGUUGUGACAGUUUGCGGCUCAACCGUAAAAUUGCAGUGGAAACUGGCAGUCUUGAGUACAGUAGAGGUGGGUGGAAUUCGUGGUGUAGCGGUGAAAUGCUUAGAUAUCACGAAGAACUCCGAUUGCGAAGGCAGCUCACUGGACUGUAACUGACACUGAGGCUCGAAAGUGUGGGUAUCAAACAGGAUUAGAUACCCUAGUAGUC